GAUGAACGCUAGCUACAGGCUUAACACAUGCAAGUCGCGGGGCAGCAUGGGGGUUGCUUGCACUCCCCGAUGGCGAGCGGCGCACGGGUGAGUAACGCAUAUCCAACCUGCCUUUCACCACGGGAAAACCCGGCGAAAGUAGGACUAAUACCGUUUGUUCUCCAUUGACGGCACCCGAGUUGUUCGAAAGGCUUGGCGGUGAGGGAUGGGGAUGCGUCCGAUUAGCUGGACGGCGGGGUAACGGCCCACCGUGGCUACGAACGGUAGGUGUUCUGAGAGGAAGGUACACCACACUGGAGCUGAGACACGGACCAGACACCUACGGGAGGCAGCAGUGAGGAAUAUUAGGCAAGGGUGGUAAACCUGAACAAGCCGAGUAGCGGGCGGAAGGACGGCGCUAGGGGUGGUAAACUGCUUUUAUGCAGGGACAAAGUGGCCAACGUGUGGGGUUUUGCAGGUACCGCAUGAAUAAGGACCGGCUAAUUCCGUG
rnacentral:rRNA from 1 species